GACGUAGGGGGCCAGCGUUGUUCGGAAUUACUGGGUGUAAAGGGUUCGUAGGCGGUGCGGCAAGUUGGGAGUGAAAUCUCUGGGCUUAACCCAGAGGCUGCUUCCAAAACUGCUGUGCUUGAGUGUGGGAGAGGCGCGUGGAAUUGCAGGUGUAGCGGUGAAAUGCGUAGAGAUGUGGAGGAACACCAGUGGCGAAGGCGACUCUCUGGUCUGUAACUGACGCUGAGGCGCGAAAGCAUGGGUAGCGAACAGG
rnacentral:rRNA from 1 species